rnacentral:rRNA from 1 species
AUUGAACGCUGGCGGCAGGCCUAACACAUGCACGUCGAACGAGUGGCGGACGGGUGAGUAAUGUCUGGGAAACUGCCCGAUGGAGGGGGAUAACUACUGGAAACGGUAGCUAAUACCGCAUACCAUCAGAUGUGCCCAGAUGGGAUUCGCUGGUUGGUGGGGUAACGGCUCACCUAGUCGACGAUCCCUAGCUGGUCUGAGAGGAUGACCAGCCACACUGGAACUGAGAAACGGUCCAGACUCCUACGGGAGGCAGCAGUGGGGAAUAUUGCACAAUGGGCGCAAGCCUGAUGCAGCCAUGCCGCGUGUAUGAAGAAGGCCUUCGGGUUGUAAAGUACUUUCAGCGAGGAGGCGUUACUCGCAGAAGAAGCACCGGCUAACUCCGUGCCAGCAGCCGCGGUAAUAC